UUAAUUGAAGCCAAAUAAGAGGCAUUUCAUUGUUAAUGGAAUAAAUGAUUACAAAUCCAAUUAAA
rnacentral:tRNA from 1 species